AUUGAACGCUGGCGGCAUGCCUUACACAUGCAAGUCGAACGGCAGCACGGGAGCAAUCCUGGUGGCGAGUGGCGAACGGGUGAGUAAUAUAUCGGAACGUGCCCGGUCGUGGGGAUAACGUAGCGAAAGCUACGCUAAUACCGCAUACGAUCUACGGAUGAAANCGGGGGAUCGCAAGACCUCGCGCGAUUGGAGCGGCCGAUAUCAGAUUAGGUAGUUGGUGAGGUAAAGGCUCACCAAGCCGACGAUCUGUAGCUGGUCUGAGAGGACGACCAGCCACACUGGGACUGAGACACGGCCCAGACUCCUACGGGAGGCAGCAGUGGGGAAUUUUGGACAAUGGGCGCAAGCCUGAUCCAGCAAUGCCGCGUGCAGGAUGAAGGCCUUCGGGUU
rnacentral:rRNA from 1 species